GUACGUGCUUAAGCGCACAUAUACUAAAACUGGAACGAUACAGAGAAGAUUAGCAAGGCCCCUGUGCAAGGAUGACAUGCAAAAUCGUGAACCGUUCUACAUUUUU